GUCCACGCCGUAAACGAUGAUAACUAGCUGUCCGGGCACUUGGUGCCUGGGUGGCGCAGCUAACGCAUUAAGUUAUCCGCCUGGGGAGUACGGUCGCAAGAUUAAAAACUCAAAGGAAUUGACGGGGGCCUGCACAAGCGGUGGAGCAUGUGGUUUAAUUCGAAGCAACGCGCAGAACCUUACCAGCGUUUGACAUCCCGCGCUAUUUCCAGAGAUGGAAAGUUCCUUUCGGGGACGCGGUGACAGGUGCUGCAUGGCUGUCGU
rnacentral:rRNA from 1 species